rnacentral:rRNA from 1 species
CAGCAGUAGGGAAUCUUCCUCAAUGCACGAAAGUCUAAUGGAGCACAGCCGCGUGAGCCAUGAAGCAGCAAGGCUGCGAAGCUAUGCAUCCUUGUACUGUAUACUCUCUAUCUGCGAGGAUGACAGUACUCAGAGUAGCAUCUGCUACA